CGACCGAGCGCUCAAACCUGUGAGAUCACGUCACACGAUACACCCUUCCUGCAGAGCAAAAGCGCUCAGCGGGAAAACAGAUAACAGAACAUCAUUAUUAACAGUCCUCGGAGAGCAGACAUCGUUUCACCAUGAGCCGACGUUUGGUUUUCUUCGUUUUUGUGUCGUUGAUGGUAUUAUUGGCUGUUGUGGAGGUAACAGCAAAUACAAAUCAUGAAAAACAACCAAACAGAACCUCUAGCGAAAAGCCGACAGGCGCAGCGGACACGCUGGCUGCCCCUCUGAUCCUGCAGCUGGCCGGGACUCUCUUUCCUCUGCUGCUGCACAAGCUCUUCUGACGGGCCUGCCUCCCAGGGACCGGCCCGUGCCAGACGGAGAAGGAUCUGCCAAAUACAGAACCACAUCUGCUUAGGAGCACGUAUACAAACUUCUGUUGUUUUGUGAUGACCUCAUUGUACGGGAGUGCUGGUGGAACAGCACAGUGAAUGUUUCUAAGGUACCUCUGCAUACUAGCGAAUUCUUUGCAAAUGAUAAAUUGCAUUUUGUCUGUAAAGCGGAUUGGAAUGAUAUUUUCUUACAACAAUAAACGUUUUUUGGCUUGGCACUAUAUGGUCUCUUGUUCUUUCAGUGAUGAUCGUGAAGGGUUAUGGUUAUAAAUCAAAUUCAUUUCUAGAGUGAUACCUCAAAGCACUGUGGAAUGUGUAGAACAACAAAUGAGAAAAAGCAGGUCACAAACAAUCAGUAUGCAACAUUAUCACAGUGAAACUACACAGGGUGUCCUCAGGAAGAGCCAUGCAGGUAUUUCCUCCCAC
rnacentral:lncRNA from 1 species